CAGGUCUUGACAUCCUUUGACCACUCUAGAGAUAGAGCUUUCCCUUCGGGGACAAAGUGACAGGUGGUGCAUGGUUGUCGUCAGCUCGUGCCGUGAGAUGUUGGGUUAAGUCCCGCAACGAGCGCAACCCUUAUCCUUUGUUGCCAGCGGUCAGGCCGGGAACUCAAAGGAGACUGCCAGUGAUAAACUGUAGGAAGGUGGGGAUGACGUCAAGUCAUCAUGGCCCUUACGAGUAGGGCUACACACGUGCUACAAUGGCGCAUACAAAGAGAAGCGACCUCGCGAGAGCAAGCGGACCUCAUAAAGUGCGUCGUAGUCCGGAUUGGAGUCUGCAACUCGACUCCAUGAAGUCGGAAUCGCUAGUAAUCGUGGAUCAGAAUGCCACGGUGAAUACGUUCCC
rnacentral:rRNA from 1 species